rnacentral:lncRNA from 1 species
ACCUUCGGGGGCUGAUUUUUGGGCGCGGCUGUGCCCGUGGCCUAUUUUUGGCACACGGAGGCCGCCCGCCAAGUCUGGGGCCAUUCCGAGUCCCGCGGACGAACUUCGCCCACGCCCCCCACAUCGGCUAUAGCCCACCCGUUUUUUGGCCAUUUUUCCGCUGGGGGGUCUUGGGACCCCGACCUUUGGGGGCUUAUUUUUGGGCGCGGUUGUGCCCGUGGCCUAUUUUUGGCACACGGAGGCCGCCCGCCAAGUCUGGGGCCAUCCGAGACCCGCGGACGAACUUCGCCCACGCCCCCCACAUAGGCUAUAGCCCACCCGUUUUUUGGCCAUUUUUCCGCUGGGGGGUCUUGGUACCCCGACCUUCGGGGGCUGAUUUUUGGGCGCGGCUGUGCCCGUGGCCUAUUUUUGGCACACGGAGACCGCCUGCCAAGUCUGGGGCCAUUCCGAGUCCCGCGUACGAACUUCGCCCACGCCCCCCACCAAGGCUAUAGCCCACCCGUUUUUUGGCCAUUUUUCGGCUGGGGGGUCUUGGGACCCCGACCUUCGGGGGCUGAUUUUUGGGCGCGGCUGUGCCCGUGGCCUAUUUUUGGCACACGGAGGUCACCCGCCAAGUUUGGGGCCAUUCCGAGUCCCGCGGACGAACUUCGCCCACGCCCCCCACCAAGGCUAUAGCCCACCCGUUUUUUGGCCAUUUUUCCGCUGGGGGGUCUUGGGACCCCGACCUUCGGGGGCUGAUUUUUGGGCGCGGCUGUGCCCGUGGCCUAUUUUUGGCACACGGAGGCCGCCCGCCAAGUCUGGGGCAAUUCCGAGUCCGGCGGACGAACUUCGCCCACGCCCCCCACCAAGGCUAUAGCCCACCCGUUUUUUGGCCAUUUUUCCGCUGGGGGGUCUUGGGACCCCGACCUUCGGGGGCUGAUUUUUGGGCGCGGCUGUGCCCGUGGCCUAUAUUUGACUCACGGAGGCCGUCCGCCAAGUCUGGGGCCAUUCCGAGUCCCGCGGACGAACUUCGCCCACGCCCCCCACAUAGGCUAUAGCCCACCCGUUUUUUGGCCAUUUUUCCGCUGGGGGGUCUUGGGACCCCGACCUUCGGGGGCUUAUUUUUGGGCGCGGCUGUGCCCGUGGCCUAUUUUUGGCACACGGAGGCCGCCCGCCAAGUCUGGGGCCAUUCCGAGUCCCGCGGACGAACUUCGCCCACGCCCCCCACAUAGGCUAUAGCCCACCCGUUUUUUGGCCAUUUUUCCGCUGGGGGGUCUUGGGACCCCGACCUUCGGGGGCUUAUUUUUGGGCGCGGCUGUGCCCGUGGCCUAUUUUUGGCACACGGAGGCCGCCCGCCAAGUCUGGGGCCAUUCCGAGUCCCGCGGACGAACUUCGCCCACGCCCCCCACAUAGGCUAUAGCCCACCCGUUUUUUGGCCAUUUUUCGUCUGGGGGGUCUUGGGACCCCGACCUUCGGGGGCUUAUUUUUGGGCGCGGCUGUGCCCGUGGCCUAUUUUUGGCACACGGAGGCCGCCCGCCAAGUCUGGGGCCAUCCGAGACCCGCGGACGAACUUCGCCCACGCCCCCCACAUAGGCUAUAGCCCACCCGUUUUUUGGCCAUUUUUCCGCUGGGGGGUCUUGGGACCCCGACCUUGGGGGGCUGAUUUUUGGGCGCGGCUGUGCCCGUGGCCUAUUUUUGACACACGGAGGCCGCCCAGCAAGUCUGGGGCCAUUCCGAGUCCCGCGGACGAACUUCGCCCACGCCCCCCACAUAGGCUAUAGCCCACCCAUUUUUUGGCCAUUUUUCCGCUGGGGGGUCUUGGGACCCCGACCUUGGGGGGCUGAUUUUUGGGCGCGGCUGUGCCCGUGGCCUAUUUUUUGCACACGGAGGCCGCCCGCCAAGUCUGGUGCCAUUCCGAGUCCCGCGGACAAACUUCGCCCACGCCCCCCACCAAGGCUAUAGCCCACCCGUUUUUUGGCCAUUUUUCCGCUGGGGGGUCUUGGGACCCCGACCUUCGGGGGAUGAUUUUUGGGCGCGGCUGUGCCCGUGGCAUAUUUUUGCCACACGGAGGCCGCCCGCCAAGUCUGGGGCCAUUCCGAGUCCCGCGGAAGAAAUUCGCCCACGCCCCCCAC